rnacentral:rRNA from 1 species
UGGGGAAUUGUUCGCAAUGGGCGCAAGCCUGACGACGCAACGCCGCGUGGAGGAUGAAGUAUUUCGGUAUGUAAACUUCGAAAGAAUAGGAAGAAUAAAUGACGGUACUAUUUAUAAGGUCCGGCUAACUACGUGCCAGCAGCCGCGGUAAUACGUAGGGACCAAGCGUUGUUCGGAUUUACUGGGCGUAAAGGGCGCGUAGGCGGCAAUUCAAGUCAUCUGUGAAAUCUCCGGGCUUAACUCGGAACGGUCAGAUGAUACUGCUUUGCUAGAGUGCAGAAGGGGCAAUCGGAAUUCUUGGUGUAGCGGUGAAAUGCGUAGAUAUCAAGAGGAACACCUGAGGUGAAGACGGGUUGCUGGGCUGACACUGACGCUGAGGCGCGAAAGCCAGGGGAGCAAACGGGAUUAGAUACCCAUGUAGUCCCUGAGCGGGCUGGCAAGGCGCAU